rnacentral:rRNA from 1 species
CGCCUGCCCUGUGACAAAAGUUUAACGGCCGCGGUAUUUUGACCGUGCAAAGGUAGCGCAAUCACUUGUCUUUUAAAUGAAGACCUGUAUGAAUGGCAUCACGAGGGCUUAACUGUCUCCUUUUUCUAGUCAAUGAAAUUGAUCCCCCCGUGCAGAAGCGGGGAUACGACCAUAAGACGAGAAGACCCUAUGAAGCUUUAGACACAAGACAGAUCUUGUUAAACACUUCAACCUAAAGAAAUAAACUAAAAGAACCCUGCCCUAAUGUCUUUGGUUGGGGCGACCACGGGGAAAUAAAAAACCCCCACGCGGACUGAGAGUACCCCUCUUAUAACCAAGGGCCACAGCUCUAAUUAACAGAACCUCUGACCUUAAGAUCCGGCAAUGCCGAUCAACGGACCGAGUUACUCUAGGGAUAACAGCGCAAUCCUCUUUUAGAGUCCCUAUCGACAAGAGGGUUUACGACCUCGAUGUUGGAUCAGGACAUCCUAAUGGUGCAGCAGCUAUUAAGGGUUCGUUUGUUCAACGAUUAAAGUCCU